rnacentral:rRNA from 1 species
UACAGAGGGCGCGAGCGUUGUCCGGAAUCACUGGGCGUAAAGGGCGCGUAGGUGGCCACCAUAAGGCCGCGGUGAAAGUUCGGGGCUCAACCCCGGAUCGGCCGCGGCGACUGUGGGGCUCGGGUACUGUAGAGGCAGAUGGAAUUCCGGGUGUAGCGGUGGAAUGCGUAGAGAUCGGGAAGAACACCAGUGGCGAAGGCGGCGUUCUGGGUUGCAACUGACGCUGAGAUGCGAAAGUGUGGGGAGCAAACGGG